GUGUGUGUCUGUGUGUUUAACACUUUCUAUUAGUCUUUCUCACCAGGGUUAUUAUAGACAACUAAAACUAAAUCCAUUAAAAAAAUGAAGUAAAUCGUGGCCACGUUGUACUAAUUCGUUCCCUCAUUUUAAUUUAACUAAUAAUUAUUACAACGUGGCCACAAUUUAGUAAAACAAGCUAACAAAUUAUUAUAUUGUGCGUGUGAUUUAUUAAAUGAGGUAACGAAUUAUAAUAUUGUGCGAAAAAUUUACUAAAAUAACAUAACAAAUUAUUAUAUCGUGCACAUGAUUUAACAAAUUAUAAUAUUGUGCAACGAUUUACUAAAAUGACGUAACAAAUAAUUAUAUCGCGCUUAUGAUUUACUAAAACAAUGUAACGAAUUAUUAUAUUGUGCACAUGAUUUACUAAAACGAGGUAACAAAUUAUAUCGUCUGCAUGAUUUAAGGAAUUAUAAUAUUGUGUGAACGAUUUGCUAAAAUGAGGUAACAAAUUAUUUGUGUGAAAGAUUUACUAAAACAAAGUAACAAAUUAUUAUAUCAUGCAAAAUAUGAACUAAAACGAGGUUACGAAUUAUAUCGUCCGCAUGAUUUAACAAAUUAUAAUAUUGUGUGAGAGAUUUACUAAAACAAGGUAACGAAUUAUAAUAUUGUGCAAAAGAUUUACUAAAACGAGGUAACGAAUUAUUAUAUCGUCCGCAUGAUUUAACGAAUUAUAAUAUUGUGCGAACAAUUUCCUAAGAGGAGAUAACACGUAAAAGUGUUAUUUUAGCAUCAUUGAGAUACUAUUUUUAUUAAAAUUUCAAAUUCAUUUUUAUAUUCAUAUUUUCCGUUUUCAUUUUAAUUUUAGUAUUGUACUAAAACGAGGUAACAAAUUAUAUCGUCUGCAUGAUUUAACAAAUUAUAAUAUUAUGUGAGCGAUUUACUAAAAUGAGGUAACAAAUUAUUGUAUUGUGCAAAAUAUUAACUAAAACGAGGUAACAUAUUAUAAUAUUGUGCGAAAGAUUUACUAAAACGAGGUAAUGAAUUAUAAUAUUGUGCGAAAGAUUUACUAAAACGAGGUAACGAAUUAUAAUAUUGUGCGAAAGAUUUACUAAAACGAGGUAAUGAAUUAUAAUAUUGUGCGAAAGAUUUACUAAAACGAGGUAACAUAUUAUAAUAUUGUGCGAAAGAUUUACUAAAACGAGGUAACGAAUUAUAAUAUUGUGCGAAAGAUUUACUAAAACGAGGUAACGAAUUAUAAUAUUGUGCGAAAGAUUUACUAAAACGAGGUAACAUAUUAUAAUAUUGUGCGAAAGAUUUACUAAAACGAGGUAACGAAUUAUAAUAUUGUGCGAAAGAUUUACUAAAACGAGGUAACGAAUUAUAAUAUUGUGCGAAAGAUUUACUAAAACGAGGUAAUGAAUUAUAAUAUUGUGCGAAAGAUUUACUAAAACGAGGUAACAUAUUAUAAUAUUGUGCGAAAGAUUUACUAAAACGAGGUAACAUAUUAUAAUAUUGUGCGAAAGAUUUACUAAAACGAGGUAAUGAAUUAUAAUAUUGUGCGAAAGAUUUACUAAAAUGAGGUAAUGAAUUAUAAUGUGUGAAAGAUUUACUAAAUCAAGGUAACGAAUUAUAAUAUUGUGCGAAAGAUUUACUAAAACGAGGUAACGAAUUAUAAUAUUGUGCGAAAGAUUUACUAAAACGAGGUAAUGAAUUAUAAUAUUGUGCAAAAGAUUUACUAAAUCGAGGUAACGAAUUAUUAUAUUGUCCGCAUGAUUUAAUGAAUUAUAAUAUUGUGCGAACAAUUUCUUAAGAGGAGAUAACACACAAAAGUGUUAUUUUAGCAUCAUUGAGAUACUAUUUUUAUUAAAAUUUCAAAUUCAUUUUUAUAUUCAUAUUUUCCGUUUUCACUUUAAUUUUAGUAUUGUUGUGUGCUUUUGAAAUAAGUUUUUGUUUUAUACGUUUUUUUAAAUAUAUCUGUUUUAUUAAUUUUUAUUUCAGUUUUAGUUAGUUUGACCUUGUCAAACAAGCCAAAGUAGAAUAGGUAUGUUUUUAUUUAUAUUUUAUUUUAUUUCAGUUACCUUUUUUUUUUUUUUUUUUUCAGGCAACAAAAAAUGUUUUCAGUUUUAGUAUAAAACUAUAAUAACCCUGACACACACACACACACACACACACAAAAUAAACUCCUCUAUAAAUCUCCUAACAGCUCUUCAAACUCUCACAUGUGAAAGUGUGUCUGAUGACAUCACGAGCGGUGUGUGUGUGUGUGUG